ACAGAGCUGCGGGGCGGGAGUGAAGCGAAGCGCAUUGGGCCGGGGUGAGGCGGUUCCUCCCCGGGAGCUGGGACUGGACCCCGGCCGGGGUCCCCGCCGCCUUUGGGCCGGCUCCCAGGCCCUGCGGGGGGCAGGGAGGUGCGGGCUGGCGGUUUUCCUGAGGAGUCCGGGGUGUGAGCAGCGCCGGGCUCCGCAGCCGGCCGGCAGAGUUGCUGAUACUUUGUUGGCACUGUUUGGGACCACCAAAGAACGGACUGACAUCACCCACUCAUGCAUUAUGAACAAUCGCUGCCUGCAGAGUAAUGCUGCAUUGGGAAAUGUACACUCUCCUCUCAGCAGAAAAAAGAAAAUCUGAAAACUAUGCAAGUAUUACUGGGUGAGAAGCAUGAGGAAGCCACUACAGUGAUGCGUUUAUAGAAUGGAAAAUAAAUCAGGCCUUUAUAAUGAAGUCUUCAAAAUCUCCUAUGCUGCUCACAAGAUCAUUUCCUCAAAAGUCUUAGAAACUUAUAGAAGAAAAAAAGGAAGACAACUGAAAAGAAG